rnacentral:rRNA from 1 species
GAAGGCAGCAGGCGCGCAAAUUACCCAAUGAAAACAGUUUCGAGGUAGUGACGAGAAAUAACAAUACGGGGCAUUAAAUGCUUUGUAAUUGGAAUGAUGGGGAUGUAAAACCCCCUCAGAGUAACGAUUGGAGGGCAAGUCUGGUGCCAGCAGCCGCGGUAAUUCCAGCUCCAAUAGUGUAUAUUAGAGUUGUUGCAGUUAAAAAGCUCGUAGUUGGAUUUCUGCUAUGAUAGUCUGAGACCACCCUUCGGGGCGGUGCGAGGAUUGAUCGUGGCAUAUUUCUGGUGGCCCCCAGCGAUGCUUAAUUGCGUGGCCGGGGGUGUUCCGGAACUUUUACUUUGAGAAAAAUAGAGUGUUUCAAGCAGGCUUGUCGCCUUGAAUACUGCA